CCACAUGGGGCUCACGAUCUUCAUCCUCAUUUUACAGAUGAGGUAACUGAGGCACAGAGAAGUGAAGUGACUUUCCAAGGUUACACAGUAGACAAGUGGUGGAGCCAGGACAAGGACCCAGUUCCUUCUGACUCCCAGGCCCGUGCUCUAUCGACUAGGCCACGCUGCUUCUUCUCUUUCAUCCUCUUCCUCAACCCUUGCGAGAUCAGUGCCAAAGAUCCUGCUAAGGACAUUUCAGCACUAUUCUGUAAUUGAGGAACGAGAUUACUUUGAGAAGCACAGGGUACAAAGCAGGGCCAGUCACUCACUCAUCCAUUGUUUGCUGAUCUGGUCACUUAUGCUUGUGCACAUGUGAACACGCACACAGAGACACACAAAAAUCCCUCCUCUCUACCCCUUCCCCCCCCCCCCCCCCCCCCAGCAACCUCAACUGGGUUUUCAUUCCGUUCUGGACCGUGGCGUGAGCGAGUUGGCAGGAGGCAACAAUCUGGGUUGGGGAAGCUUUUAAAAUACUUGUGAUCAGGAAGUUGGGUGAGGAAAGAGUCAAGGGAGGGCUAAGAAAUACUGCUCGGCCAUGGGGUCAGGAAUACCCAGCCAAACCACUGCAACUAUACGAGAACUCCGAGAGAACAGACUGCAAGGCCCAAAUCUCCAACCAGCUACCAUGGACAAUGAGAGAUUAAAGCUCCUCCACCAACUGCACCAUUUUCACCGAGGGACAGGAAGAAACUUUUGUGCCAUCGCCCCAAUCCAAGUCAUUCUGGCCAUGUCCCCUGGGAAAUCUGUGGUUGCAUCAUUGGCCAUUUAUUUUGCACUCGGGCCUUGCAUGAGGUUUUCCAAUCAUUGUUAUUGGCAGUUUCUCCCAGGUUCAUAUUUGAAUCACUGAUUUACCAAUCAGGACCAGCCUUGCACCAUUGAUUUUUUUCAUCGGAAUCUUCAGAACAAUCCAAAUGCAGAUUAAGAAAGUGUCAUUGAUCUUUCUCUUUUCUUCCCCUCCCAACCCCAUGCUGGGGG
rnacentral:lncRNA from 1 species